AGAGUUUGAUCCUGGCUCAGGAUGAACGCUAGCGACAGGCCUAACACAUGCAAGUCGAGGGGCAGCAUUUCUAGCUUGCUAGAAGAUGGCGACCGGCGCACGGGUGGGUAACGCGUAUGCAACCUACCUUAUACUGGGGGAUAGCCCAGAGAAAUCUGGAUUAAUACCGCAUAAAAUGUUUGAAUCGCAUGGUCUAAAUAUUAAAACUCCGGUGGUAUAAGAUGGGCAUGCGUAGCAUUAGUUAGUUGGUGAGGUAACGGCUCACCAAGACGAUGAUGCUUAGGGGGUCUGAGAGGAUAGUCCCCCACACUGGUACUGAGACACGGACCAGACUCCUACGGGAGGCAGCAGUGAGGAAUAUUGGUCAAUGGACGCAAGUCUGAACCAGCCAUGUCGCGUGCAGGAUGACGGCCCUAUGGGUUGUAAACUGCUUUUUUACAGGAAUAAUUGUCGCUACGUGUAGUGAUUUGAAUGUACUGUAAGAAUAAGGAUCGGCUAACUCCGUGCCAGCAGCCGCGGUAAUACGGAGGAUUCGAGCGUUAUCCGGAUUUAUUGGGUUUAAAGGGUCCGUAGGCGGUUCUUUAAGUCAGUGGUGAAAUCCCAGAGCUCAACUCUGGAACUGCCAUUGAAACUGAAGAACUUGAAUAUGGUUGAGGUAGGCGGAAUACGUUAUGUAGCGGUGAAAUGCAUAGAUAUAACGUAGAACACCAAUUGCGAAGGCAGCUUACUAAACCAUUAUUGACGCUGAUGGACGAAAGCGUGGGGAGCGAACAGGAUUAGAUACCCUGGUAGUCCACGCCGUAAACGAUGAUUACUCGUUGAGCACAAUACAUCGUGCGUGACUGAGCGAAAGCAUUAAGUAAUCCACCUGGGGAGUACGUUCGCAAGAAUGAAACUCAAAGGAAUUGACGGGGGCCCGCACAAGCGGAGGAACAUGUGGUUUAAUUCGAUGAUACGCGAGAAACCUUACCUGGACUUAAAUGUAGAUUGACCGGUUUAGAAAUAGAUCUUUCCUUCGGGACAAUUUACAAGGUGCUGCAUGGUUGUCGUCAGCUCGUGCCGUGAGGUGUCGGGUUAAGUCCCAUAACGAGCGCAACCCCUAUCGUUAGUUGCUAGCAGGUAAUGCUGAGGACUCUAAUGAGACUGCCACCGUAAGGUGAGAGGAAGGUGGGGAUGACGUCAAAUCAGCACGGCCCUUACGUCCAGGGCUACACACGUGUUACAAUGGCCAGUACAAAGGGCAGCUACCUGGUGACAGGAUGCUAAUCUCAAAAGCUGGUCUCAGUUCGGAUCGGAGUCUGCAACUCGACUCCGUGAAGUUGGAUUCGCUAGUAAUCGUAUAUCAGCAAUGAUACGGUGAAUACGUUCCCGGGCCUUGUACACACCGC
rnacentral:rRNA from 1 species